rnacentral:rRNA from 1 species
AGAGUUUGAUCCUGGCUCAGGAUGAACGCUAGCGGCAGGCCUAACACAUGCAAGUCGAGGGAGAAGCCCUUUCGGGGGCAGAAACCGGCGCACGGGUGCGUAACGCGUAUGCAACCUACCUUUCACAGGGGGAUAGCCCGAAGAAAUUUGGAUUAAUACCCCAUAAUAUUAUUGGAAGGCAUCAUUUGAUAAUUAAAACUGCGGUGGUGAAAGAUGGGCAUGCGUCCUAUUAGCUAGUUGGAGUGGUAACGGCACCCCAAGGCUACGAUAGGUAGGGGUCCUGAGAGGGAGAUCCCCCACACUGGUACUGAGACAGGGACCAGACUCCUACGGGAGGCAGCAGAAG